rnacentral:misc_RNA from 1 species
GAUGAAGAACGCAGCGAAAUGCGAUAAGUAAUGUGAAUUGCAGAGUUCAGUGAAUCAUCGAAUCUUUGAACGCACAUUGCGCCCCCUGGUAUUCCGGGGGGCAUGCCUGUCCGAGCGUCAUUACAACCCUCAAGCUCAGCUUGGUGUUGGGCCCCGCCGCCCCGGCGGGCCCUAAAGUCAGUGGCGGUGCCGUCCGGCUCCGAGCGUAGUAAUUCUUCUCGCUCUGGAGGUCCGGUCGUGUGCUUGCCAGCAACCCCCAAUUUUUUUCAGGUUGACCUCGGAUCAGGUAGGGAUACCCGCUGAACUUAAGCAUAUCAAAAGCGGAGGA